UGGGGAAUUUUCCGCAAUGGGCGGAAGCCUGACGGAGCAAUACCGCGUGAGGGAAGAAUGCCUAUGGGUUGUAAACCUCUUUUUUCAGGGAGGAAUAAAAUGACGUGUACCUGAAGAAUAAGCACCGGCUAACUCCGUGCCAGCAGCCGCGGUAAGACGGAGGGUGCAAGUGUUAUCCGGAAUUACUGGGCGUAAAGCGUCUGUAGGUGGUUUAGUAAGUCAACUGUUAAAUCUUGAGGCUCAACUUCAAAUCAGCAGUCGAAACUAUUAGACUAGAGUAUAGUAGGGGUAAAGGGAAUUUCCAGUGGAGCGGUGAAAUGCGUAGAUAUUGGAAAGAACACCGAUGGCGAAGGCACUUUACUGGGCUAUUACUAACACUCAGAGACGAAAGCUAGGGUAGCAAAUGGGAUUAGAUACCCCAGUAGUCCUAGCUGUAAACAAUGGAUACUAGAUGUUGAACAGAUCGACCUGUGCAGUAUCAAAGCUAACGCGUUAAGUAUCCCGCCUGGGAAGUAUGCUCGCAAGAGUG
rnacentral:rRNA from 1 species